rnacentral:lncRNA from 1 species
AAAAACCAGGGAUAUGGAAAAAUAUUCAUUAAUUAAGCAAUGACAUAGAGAUAGCAUGUCAAAAAGUUAACCGUUUCAAAUGAGUUUUCAGUCUUACUUACUGGAAAUUACAGUCAAUUUUGACUAACAUAACUCUAAAAAUACAUGUGUAGGAAGUGUGUAAGUUAAAGUUAGAGAUUUACUUACAGUAUUUCUCCCAUCUCUUUACAAACAAGGACCGAGACCCUGGAGAUGAUGGUGUAGGCUGGCCAGAUUGUCUGUAGUCAAACUUCUCCAAGUACAAUCUCAGACAUUCUUGUGUUGUCAACACCUUCAAUAUAAAAUAAAAUACAUGUGGAUAUAUAAAGUUGAUGCAACUGACAAUUAUAUCAAAUAAAAUCAAUUUCAAAUGUGCAAAACACCUGUAAAGUGUACAAGGGUUGCAUACUGCUAAAUAAAUACUAGCUGUGAAAGUAUGUAUAUAUUUAUACAAAUUUUUGCAUGCUUAUGAUAGUUUAUAUUUUCAAAAAACUAUCAGUAGCUUUAAGCCGAGUUCUACGUAAGGAAGUGGACCCAUAAUGACAAUGAUCAUCAAAUUCAUAUCAAUAUUAUAUCCACUUUUUACAGAAAUCUGUGUAGGUACUCAGCUACAUUUACAUCUGAUUCUAAAGAAUGCUGAAUUGCCUAGCUAGAGCAAGAACACUUAAUCCUAAUAUACUGUUAACUAGCUUACCCCGUGACCUGUCUCUAUUUUUAGUUUCUAUUAGUCUAUUUCAAUAAAUGCAAACCCAAAAGUUCUCAGCAGUUUACAUCAUUACAUAUUUAGGACAUCACAGUAAAGUUUUAUAAAAAUAACUAUUUUUUUUUUAAAUAUCCCCUCUUUUUCAAUAUCCUCUAGAGUGUUAACAGUCAAAUUGUUGACGACGGACGACGGACACAGGGCGAUCCCAAAAGCUCACCUUUGAGCACUUUGUGUUCAGAUGAGCUAAAAAUGACAUUUGCUUGGCAUAUUCUUAAACUUGAUCAAAUUUCGCACUCUGUUGCAAUUUUUAACAUCUUUUACCAUGCCAUCUUUUUUAUAAAUUUUGUAUAAUCUAUGGUACUAUUUCUUUAAGUUAAAGUAGAGACAAAUAUCGAAGUGACGGCCACUGUCCAAAAUGUUUGCAGAAAAUUCAUUAAUUAUGCUAUUGAUUUUGAUAAAAGAAACACCUAACUAUUGGUAAACAAUAAUAAAACUGUCAAUAUCAUUUUUUUCUAGGGUGCCUCAGGUAAUUGGAUUUAAUGAGACAGAAUUCUAACAGCCAAUAUAGAAUAAAAGAUAUAUAUAUAUAUAGAGAGAGAGAGAAGUUUCACUACAACUAACUCAGUAAUUUUAAAGAUGUCUUAAACUCUGACCCUUUCUGUUCUAGAGGUGAAUUCACUUUGAACAGCAAGAAAUCACUCAUUUAUCAAAUGAAGAAUUUCCACUUUUGUACAAUAAAUCAAUAUACAAGUCUUGAAAAAAAAAAAAAGUCUUUCUUGACAGUAAGAAAAUAAGUAAAAACAAUUGGUCCCAGUGGGGUUUUGACCUAUGCCCCCAUCUACAAAAUUUCAGUCAAAGUAGAUUUAUGGUAGGAAUUGAAUAUACUCUUCAAAAGGAGGCACUCUAUUAUGGUUCUAAUACCUUAAAGGGAGUUGAAUUUUAGCCAAAAUCUGGACAUGACAGUGACCUUCACAGUUUUCCUACAUCUGUCCUGUUUCCUUAUCAUGCAGUAUUGAUAUUUGGGUGAGAAAAAAAAAUGAAGCCUUUUAAAGAUUUCCAUUUUAUUGCUUACUGAAAUAAGAAACUGGUUCAUUUUUUACUUCUGAGAAUGUGUUUUAUAGUGGUUGAUUGUUAUUUCAAGUUUUGACGCAUUACGAUGUUCCAUUAAAAAAUAAUGAAGAAAAAACCUUCCAAAAAUAUCCCAAGUGUACUGGUUUUAGCGUGACAUUUAAAUGAAAUCAUGUUUUCAACUUAAAAUUACUUUAUAACCACCUUAUAUGUUAAGAAAAUGUUUUCUUUAUGCUGAAGUGUAAUGUGUUGGUUAUUGGGUUAGCAAAAGUUUAGAAAAUAUUAAUGAAUAAUUAUUCUUCAAGGCUUCUAAGAAAUGAAAAGGUGUUGAGUUUUAUUUUGCUCCGAAAAUGGCCAACUGAUACUUUACUAGUCGCAGCAUUGAAAAGUAUUAAUAAUUAGAUGAAGUAUUUUUUCUUUGUUUAGUACUGAUGUUUUUUAUUUAUUUUUUUCAAUAUUUUUUCGACUAAUACAUUUUGAACAACAAAUUAUUUGUAAUAUUCAACAACAAAAAUAUCCCAAGUGUACAAAAUAGCAAAAUUAAUAAAUAUUUUUCUUGUUCAUGUGAUUUUUUUUAAAUUUGCACAUUCUUACUAAGAGGAGGAGCCUACAAAACAGUCAUAACAAAGAUUUGACAUAGUUAUGCCAUUUGAGAUUUUUCUUGCAAAUAAUGUGAUGUUCCAAGUGUACAUGACUUUUGACACGUUUGAUUUUACAGGUGUAUGUGCCCAAAAAUAUGAAUGACACGUCACCUAGGUGCAUGACAGCAUUUAAUAGGGUGCAGUUUUCUUACAGAAAUGUCUUUUCAGUUGUUAUAAUGGUAAACUGGCGAAACAUUAUGGAUUUCCGCAAAUUUUGACAGUAAGAACAUUUUUAAGUAAGUGUACCUUUAUACUGACUAACUUAAUUUCUAAAUCAUAUACUUUAAUGUAGGCUACUAUCAUUAUAGCUCAAAAGAAUGCAUAUUCUCUUGAAACAUUUAACAUUUGAAAACCCCAGUGUGUUACCUUGGUAUAUGAGCGUACAGUUAAGAUUCAUAAUAAUGGACACAAACUUUUAAAGAAAGUCAGUCAGAAGGAAAAAGGCCUUACUAUUGCACUGUAAAUGAUCUGUGUUACAAUUUAGAUGAGACCGUCAGGUUAAAUCAGUCAGUAGAAGAAUAUACUGAAUAUCAAUGUUGCAGGGUAUAUUCUUUAAUAUAAACCAGAUAUUCUUAGGAAUGAUAAAAAAUGACAGAAGUCAGAAUUGUUGAAGACCAUUGUCCGCUAUUUUUAACACAUAUUCAUUUGUUAAGAAGUUGUCAGGUACUCUCACAGAAAAAUACUUAUAAUUUCCUUCAACUUCAUUUGAUGUUUUAAAUAUGUUGCUUUACUGUUUUGUAGAGUCCCAGAGAGGAACUAAAAGACAAAGAGUUGUAACGAAUGAUGAGUACUGUGCUGGGAAAACAGUAAAGGCAUUUUGGCGUGAUGAGGAUGGGGAAAAUUGGUUGGAUGCAACAAUCUUGACAGUUUAUGCUGAUGGCAAGACCUGCAAAGUGAGGUAUCAUGUGGACAAUGGUAUUUCAAAGUUGGCCAGAUCCUGGAUAAGAAAGAUUUAAAGUGGACUUUCACACCAGUGUACACCAGUGUUUCAGAUGAUUUUCCCUAUUCCAACAUAACUCAUUGACAGUAUCCCUUAUGCCAAAUAACUUGCAGGCUAAAAUGACAAAUAAUGAUACAUGCAUAUUUUUGUGUAAAAUGUGAUAGAAAUCAAUACCUUCACAGUUGAUCUCCAUUACUGAUAGUAUAUUUCUAGAUUCAAAAUGAGCUAGUUUACAAAAAAAUGAUAAAAUUGAGCUACAAAUGAUAAAACAUAACUGGAACUUUGUUGAAGUGCAUCUAUGAAAAAUUCUGAUGUUAUUUUUAUGUUAAUUUUCUGUUUUUUAUUCAAUGCGCGAGCAUAAGAAAAAGUGCUAUGAGGAAAGUAUUUCUUUUAGACUUUAUUUAAAUGAUGCAUGAAAAAUUAUCUACCACUAGUUGUAGAUGCAGACUUAAAUAUCAGGGGCACUUGGAAAAUUAAUUAUAUUGGUAAGUCAGACAAGCCUUGUUACUGCCAAAACAAGUUACUCUGGAACCGGUUAUUCUGAUCUACAUCUACAACCAGUGGCAUAUUUUAUAGUCUGUAAUUCAUUAAAUGAUAUCCUAAAAAUGAUUGAGUGAUAUCACAAAAUCGAUGCAUUAUGUGAGAUCCUUAAUUAGAUGAUAUAGUUAUUCAUUUUAUGAUAUCCAAAAAUCAAUAAUGGAUAUCAUAAAAUAGAAUUAAAGAUAUUAAAUGGAAUUAAGGAUAUCAUAAAAAUCUGAUUUUAGAAUAUCCAAUAAAUGAAUUACAGAUAUGUAUAAAACAUUUUGUGAUAUAUCUAUAUGCAUUUAAUGAUAUACAAAAAUGAUAAAUGUUAUCGUUAAAUGAAUUUGUGACAUCCAUGAAUGAAUUAAGAAUAGAUUACUUAUAACUGGAUUUAGGAUAUUACACUUAAAUAGUGAAUAAAAAGUAAAAUGGCAUUCUAUAGUAUUUUGUAUUUUAUAUAGUGAACAAUCAAAUUUGCAUCCGAUCAAAUUAUAUUGCACCAAAUUUUGUAUAUUUAUUUAUUGUUUAUGUUGAAAUGUAUAUAUGUUUAUUUAUUUCUUGAUGUGGAUUUAAAGUGUGAAAAGUGAUGUUUGAGAGAACGAUUAAUUUCUAGUAAAAGCUGAUACUCAUUGGUGUAACAAUUUUUAUAUUUAUAAAAAAAUUAUCAAUGUAAUAAAGGUUCACUGAUUCUUUUCAUUAACUGAAAAAUGCAAUGAGAAGUUGAAGUACCUGUUUUCAGUUUUGUAAAUAAUAUUUACAAAGAAGUUGAAGAAAUGUUCAACAAAUGCUCUUUUUUAUCAAAAGCUGUAAAGAGCUGAAUUUAUGUUGAAAAUGUAACUGUUCUGCAUGUCAGAGUGUCAUUUGUGUGAAUUUUGUUUAUUUGGGGUUGAAAACUAGUCUGGGUCACUAGGUUAAAUCAAAGAAAAUGCUUGUUUACCCUCAAGAGGCCAUGUUUUUUUCUGUUCUAUCUUAGUGAAAAUUUGUCAGAAUAUUUGUUUCCAUGAAAUCACUAGGUAAAACAUGUUUACACUGUUAUGAUGUGUUACUCAGAUGAGCCCAUUUUGGCCCUCUUCUUAUAGAAACUUUUUGUCAAGAGAAUCAUUUUUGUCAAGAUUUACAUAUUAAAUUGCUUUAAACAUUUUAUCAAGAUGUGUCAAUAAGUGUUAUAUAUUUUAUUAUGUAUCAUAAACAUAAAAACAUGUUCCUGUCUGAACAGUUUUACAGUGAUAGGCAAUAAUGGAUUUGUUUAAGGUUCUGCGCAGCAGAUGACUUUCAAAAAAUAAAAGACUAGUGUUGCCUCUGCUAGAGUCUUAAGCCUUAGAGCAUAACGACACUAAAUAAAUAUGCCAGGCUGAACUUUUUACUUGUCAAGAUUAAUGUAAAAUCUUUUAACAAGCUUUAUAUUUGUAUAUCCAGUACAGGCUUUACAUCAUUCAAAAGACUCCAGUUUAGCCAUGAAAGUUCUAGCAGAACUUUUUCUACAGUGACUCAUCACAGUAAAGAUUUACAUAUUUUUUUUUUUAACAUUUUUCCAAGUAUGUGGUAAAUUUAUUAAGAGUCUGUUAUAUAUAAUGAGGCAAGCAAAACAUUUUUAGACUCGUGUUGAUAUUGUUUAUAAUUUUAAAGGAUGCGAGUUGAGAUGGAUGUAUUCUGUCAGGCAGAACUGUUUUAAACAUGUAUAGUUUUUGUCGAGCCUGCUUGCGGAAGCGAAGACAUAGUUGUCCAAAUGUCUGUCCGGUGUAUGUGCGUGCGUCCGUCUGGAUUUGUUUGUCCGGACCAUAACUUUGACAUGCAUGGAGCAAUCUUGUUUAUAUUUGGAAUGAAUGUUAAACUCAGUGAGGCAAAGUGUCAUGCGCAAAUCCCAGGUUCCUAUCUCAAAGGUCAAGGUCACACUUACAGGUCAAAUGUCAAAUUCAAAAAUGACUUUGUCAGGAGCAUUUCUUCUUCAUGCAUGGAGG